CUUUCUCUUGCAUCUUGCCACUGGGUUGGUGUAGAUGAGAGAUUGAGCUCGAACUAGCUCGAAUAAAGGCUCUUUGCUUUUGCAUCGGUGUUGGCACCUUGGUGGUCUUCUGGGAUUAGUGACUUUGGGCACAACAUUUGGGGGCUUGUCCGGGAUCCCAGAGACCCCCAGGACCCCCGACCCGGAGAGCCCUGUGCCGGCUGAAGCCACAAAACUGCAAAUAGUAAUAGAAAUGAAACCCAGAAUAGAAGUGCCAACCUUCUGAGGCCCUCUCAACUGACCAGUGAUAGAGACCUAGCUGCACCCUUUACUGCACCCCCUUCUCAGCACGAAGCAGCCAGAGCGGUCAUCGCCCCUUUUCCCUAGCAGCAGCUAGAGUCUCUAUCUGUAGAGGGGAGAAUGAGACAGAGACCAUAGGCUUAGACAGAAUAAAGUGAGAGCCUCUGAAGAAAGCAAGGCAGGAUAUUUGCAAUCAGAGCAACGUAACUACAUGCUGGAAACCCCCCCUCCUACUAAAACUAUGUUGAACAUUAAGCUCUAGAAUCAUUCUUCAGUGAGAUCAGUUAAUGUUCCCCAGAUAAAGAAGAGUAGCACACGUUUUAUUAUGCUAAUCAUUUGUAAUCGUGUAUAAGAUUCACUUUAGCAUACUAAAAAGCCCAGGCCUAUGUGCUGUCUUUCCUCCUUCUGAUCUAAGUAAUUUUGCAAGCUGAGCAACUGACUUAGCA